rnacentral:rRNA from 1 species
GUUGAACGCUAGCGGCAGGCCUAAUACAUGCAAGUCGAACGGUGUCUUCGGACAUAGUGGCGCACGGGUGCGUAACACGUAUGCAACCUACCUUACAUUGGGGGAUAGCCUUUCGAAAGGGAGAUUAAUACCGCAUAAGACAGUAGCUGGGCAUCCAGCAGCUGUUAAAGAUUUAUCGAUGUAAGCUGGGCAUGCGUCCAAUUAGCUAGUUGGUGAGGUAACGGCUCACCAAGGCAAUGAUUGGUAGGGGAACUGAGAGGUCAAUCCCCCACACUGGCACUGAGAUACGGGCCAGGCUCCUACGGGAGGCAGCAGUAGGGAAUAUUGGGCAAUGGACGCAAGUCUGACCCAGCCAUGCCGCGUGCAGGAUGAAGGCGUUAUGCGUUGUAAACUGCUUUUAUACAGGAAGAAACGACUCUUGCGAGAGGCAUUGACGGUACUGUAUGAAUAAGCACCGGCUAACUCCGUGCCAGCAGCCGCAGUAAAAC